UACAGAGGUCCCAAGCGUUGUUCGGAUUUACUGGGCGUAAAGGGUGCGUAGGCGGUCGGGUAAGUCUGAUGUGAAAUCUCUGGGCUCAACCCAGAAAUGGCAUUGGAUACUAUUCGGCUGGAGAGGUGGAGGGGGGACUGGAAUACUUGGUGUAGCAGUGAAAUGCGUAGAUAUCAAGUGGAACACCAGUGGCGAAGGCGAGUCCCUGGACAACUUCUGACGCUGAGGCACGAAAGCUAGGGGAGCAAACAGG
rnacentral:rRNA from 1 species